UACGGGGGGGGCAAGCGUUGUUCGGAAUUACUGGGCGUAAAGGGCUCGUAGGCGGCCAACUAAGUCGGACGUGAAAUCCCCAGGCUCAACCUGGGAACUGCGUCCGAUACUGGAUGGCUUGAGUUCGGGAGAGGGAUGCGGAAUUCCAGGUGUAGCGGUGAAAUGCGUAGAUAUCUGGAGGAACACCGGUGGCGAAGGCGGCAUCCUGGACCGAUACUGACACUGAGGAGCGAAAGCCAGGGGAGCAAACGGG
rnacentral:rRNA from 1 species